rnacentral:snRNA from 1 species
UUCUACAAUAUGGAUAUAUACUAAAGUUUAGACGAUACAGAGAAAAUUUGCAUGGCCGCUGCGCACGGCUGACAUGCAAAUUUCUGAAGCGGUGCAAAAUUUU